CUGAAUCCAAUACAUGCAUUACACAUUGCUGAGAAGGAGUAUGAUAUGAUCCACUCUGUCAAUUAUCUGCUAAUAAUAAGUGUUUUGUGUAUCAUCUGUCAGCAUGGCACGAGAGUGUCACUUGACUUCAAUAUUUCAGUCUUUACACAUUGAUUGACUCUGUCAGCCAAUAUUUAACAUGUUUUAUGUCUCAAAGAAAAAUGGUUUACACAGUAG